rnacentral:rRNA from 1 species
CCUACGGGAGGCAGCAGUGAGGAAUAUUGGUCAAUGGUCGGGAGACUGAACCAGCCAAGCCGCGUGAGGGAUGAAGGUACAGAGUAUCGUAAACCUCUUUUGUCAGGGAACAAAGGCGGGGACGUGUCCCCGGAUGAGUGUACCUGAAGAAAAAGCAUCGGCUAACUCCGUGCCAGCAGCCGCGGUAAUACGGAGGAUGCGAGCGUUAUCCGGAUUUAUUGGGUUAAAGGGGUGCGCAGGCGGUCUGUUAGGUCAGCGGUAAAAGCCCGGGGCCCAACCCCGGCCCGCCGUUGAAACUGGCAGUCUCGAGUUGGAGAGAAGUAUGCGGAAUGCGCGGUGUAGCGGUGAAAUGCAUAGAUAUCGCGCAGAACUCCGAUUGCGAAGGCAGCAUGCCGGCUCCACACUGACGCUGAGGCACGAAAGCGUGGGUAUCGAACAGGAUUAGAUACCCUGGUAGUC